rnacentral:rRNA from 1 species
UACAGAGGUCCCAAGCGUUGUUCGGAUUCACUGGGCGUAAAGGGUGCGUAGGUGGCUUGGUAAGUUUGAUGUGAAAUCUCCGGGCUUAACCCGGAAAUGGCAUUGAAUACUAUUGAGCUGGAGGUUUGGAGGGGGGACUGGAAUUCUCGGUGUAGCAGUGAAAUGUGUAGAUAUCGAGAGGAACACCAGUGGCGAAGGCGAGUCCCUGGACAACACCUGACACUGAGGCACGAAAGCUAGGGGAGCAAACAGG